CGUUGCCUAGCAUUUCUUCUCUUCUGUAGCACAUCACAGAAGGAAAAUGUACGGCAGUGCAAGAACAGUCAACAAUCUGAAGGCAGCCCUUCCAGAUCACCACAGUUGCCAAGAUGUCCUUUCAUAUACGGAUCAACAUGGAGGGCUGAGAGGUUCAUCCCACCACCACCACAACCACCACCACCAGGUGCCCUCCAUGUUGAGGCAGUAAGAAGUGUCUGCAUUUUCUGAUGGAAAAAGAAAAACUGAAAGAGAUGUGCAGCAGUUCAGAUCAUUGCCGUUUCACAUCUAAAAACAACUCACAAAUCUAACUUCCUGUAUUCUACUUCAAGAAGGUAGAAACUUGAGACAGAUGGAGAUACUUGCACCCAACUGUUGGACUGAAGUCAGUGAUCUCUGCAGUUGAAUUAAGAAGAGGCUGAAAGAAGCUGAGGAGGAGGGCAGCCCUAACAGAAGACCAGCAGUCUCAACUAGCCUAGACCUUUGAAAUCUCUCAGACGUGGAGCCACCAACCAGGCAGCAUACACUAGUUGGUUUUCAGACUUGGUAGCACAUACAACAGAGAACUGUCUGGUCUGACCUCACUGGGAGAAGAAGUGUCUAACUCUUGAGAGACAUGAUGCCCCAGGGAUUUAGGAGGCCUGGCCUGGAUGGGGGCCAUCCUUAUGGAAGAGGAGGAAUAGGAUGAAGAACUGUGAGAGGGCAGAUCAGGAUGGGUGUCAAUGACUGAAUUGUAAAAGAAGGAUACAAAAAAUAUAACAUGUGAAAGUUCAGAUUAAAUCACACAGGUUUAGUGAAUAGAUGUAUAAAUCCUCUUUUUAUAAAAUUAUAUUCUCAUUUGCUUUGAAA